rnacentral:rRNA from 1 species
GGUGAAAUGCGUAGAGAUCUGGAGGAAUACCGGUGGCGAAGGCGGCCCCCUGGACAAAGACUGACGCUCAGGUGCGAAAGCGUGGGGAGCAAACAGGAUUAGAUACCCUGGUAGUCCACGCCGUAAACGAUGUCUACUUGGAGGUUGUGCCCUUGAGGCGUGGCUUCCGGAGCUAACGCGUUAAGUAGACCGCCUGGGGAGUACGGCCGCAAGGUUAAAACUCAAAUGAAUUGACGGGGGCCCGCACAAGCGGUGGAGCAUGUGGUUUAAUUCGAUGCAACGCGAAGAACC